ACCAGGUAACAAAAGCGGCAGAUGAAGUUUGUAAUUUUAAGGCAGAUUGUCUUGAAAUUAAAGCGAAAACAGAGAGGCUGGCCGCGCUGCUAAGACAGGCAGCGCGAGCCAGCAAUGACUUGUACGAGCGUCCAACGCGUCGAAUCAUUGAUGACACGGAACAAGUUUUAGACAAGGCACUUACUCUUGUAUUCAAAUGUUGUG
rnacentral:misc_RNA from 1 species